GGUCAAAUGAAUAAGGGCUUACGGUGGAUACCUAGGCACCCAGAGACGAUGAAGGGCGUAGUAACCGACGAAACGCUUCGGGGAGCUGGAAACAAGCUUUGAUCCGGAGAUUCCCCAAUAGGGUAACCUUUAAAACUCCGUAUUGAAUUCAUAGAUACGAGAGAGAUAACUUAGUGAACUGAAACAUCUUAGUAGCUAAAGGAAAAGAAAGCAAACGCGAUUCCCUUAGUAGCGGCGAGCGAAAUGGGAACAGCCUAAACUUGUCGCGUAGCGAACAAGCGUUGUGGGAAUUUAUUGAUACCAGUUUAUUCUAGGUGAAACAGCUGAAUACUGUACCAUAGAUGGUGAAAGUCCAGUAACUAAAAGAUAAAAACUGUUUUUAAAUUAUCCCGAGUAGCAUGGGGCACGUGGAAUCCCGUGUGAAUCUGCGAGGACCACCUCGUAAGGCUAAAUACUCCUGGGUGACCGAUAGCGAAACAGUACCGUGAGGGAAAGGUGAAAAGAACCCCACAGGGGAGUGAAAUAGAUCAUGAAACCGUAAGCUUACAAGCAGUGGGAGUGAUUUAGUCAUGACCGCGUGCCUGUUGAAGAAUGAGCCGGCGACUUAUAGGUAGUGGCAAGGUUAAGGGGGUUUACCCUGGAGCCGUAGCGAAAGCGAGUCUGAAUAGGGCGAUUGUCCCUGCCUAUGGACCCGAACCCGGGUGAUCUAACCAUGGCCAGGAUGAAGCUUGGGUGAAACGAAGUGGAAGUCCGAACCGACUGAUGUUGAAAAAUCAGCGGAUGAGCUGUGGUUAGGGGUGAAAUACCAAUCGAACUCGGAGCUAGCUGGUUCUCCCCGAAAUGCGUUGAGGCGCAGCGGUUGACUAUGAGCUGUCUAGGGGUAAAGCACUGUUUCGGUGCGGGCUGCGAAAGCGGUACCAAAUCGUAGCAAACUCUGAAUACUAGACAUGCCUUCAGUCAGCCAGUGAGACGGUGGGGGAUAAGCUUCAUCGUCAAGAGGGAAACAGCCCAGAUCACCAGCUAAGGCCCCUAAAUGGCCGCUAAGUGGCAAAGGAGGUGAGAGUGCAGAGACAACCAGGAGGUUUGCCUAGAAGCAGCCAUCCUUGAAAGAGUGCGUAAUAGCUCACUGGUCAAGCGCUCUUGCGCCGAAAAUGAACGGGACUAAGCGGCCUGCCGAAGCUGUGAAAUUUUUAUUAAAAAAUUGGUAGGGGAGCGUUCCGCCUUAGGGUGAAGCAUAAGCGUAAGCUUGUGUGGACGAAGCGGAAGUGAGAAUGUCGGCUUGAGUAACGCAAACAUUGGUGAGAAUCCAAUGCCCCGAAAGCCUAAGGGUUCCUCCGCAAGGCUCGUCCACGGGGGGUUAGUCAGGACCUAAGGCAAGGCCGAAAGGCGUAGUCGAUGGAUAAUAGGUUAAUAUUCCUAUACUCUAUUUUAUUUAGUCCCGAGGGACGGAGAAGGCUAAGUUGGCUGGAUGUUGGUUACCAGGUCAAACAUUUAAGGUGAUGAGAGGUGGAAUAAAAAACACCUUGAGCUAAGGUGUCAGACAGGGUACUACGGUACCUGAAGCAACUGAUGUCAUACUCCCAAGAAAAGCUCGCACGACACAACAUAUAAAAUAGACCUGUACCCGAAACCGACACAGGUAGGUAGGUAGAGUAUACCAAGGGGCGCGAGAUAACUCUCUCUAAGGAACUCGGCAAAAUGGCCCCGUAACUUCGGGAGAAGGGGUACCCCUUAGGGGGUCGCAGUGACCAGGCCCAGGCGACUGUUUAUCAAAAACACAGGUCUCCGCUAAGUCGUAAGACAAUAUAUGGGGGCUGACGCCUGCCCAGUGCCGGAAGGUUAAGGAAGUCGGUUAGCUAAUUUUAGUGAAGCUGGCGACCGAAGCCCCGGUGAACGGCGGCCGUAACUAUAACGGUCCUAAGGUAGCGAAAUUCCUUGUCGGGUAAGUUCCGACCCGCACGAAAGGCGUAACGAUCUGGGCACUGUCUCGGAGAGAGACUCGGUGAAAUAGAAUUGUCUGUGAAGAUGCGGACUACCUGCACCUGGACAGAAAGACCCUAUGAAGCUUUACUGUAGCCUGGAAUUGGCUUCGGGCUCUUCUUGCGCAGCUUAGGUGGAAGGCUGAGAAAGGCAAUUCCGGUUGUCUGGAGCCAUCAGUGAGAUACCACUCUGGGAGAGCUAGGAGUCUAAUGGCGUUCCUUGAAUCAGGACGCUUGACAGUUUCAGGUGGGCAGUUUUACUGGGGCGGUAGCCUCCUAAAAGGUAACGGAGGCGUGCAAAGGUUCCCUCAGGCUGGACGGAAAUCAGCCAUAGAGUGUAAAGGCAGAAGGGAGCUUGACUGCAAGACCUACAAGUCGAGCAGGGACGAAAGUCGGCCUUAGUGAUCCGACGGUGCCGUGUGGAAGGGCCGUCGCUCAACGGAUAAAAGUUACUCUAGGGAUAACAGGCUGAUCUCCCCCAAGAGUUCACAUCGACGGGGAGGUUUGGCACCUCGAUGUCGGCUCGUCGCAACCUGGGGCGGAAGUACGUCCCAAGGGUUGGGCUGUUCGCCCAUUAAAGCGGUACGU
rnacentral:rRNA from 1 species